AACGCGAAGAACCUUACCUACCCUUUACAUACAAUGGACCUUGCAGAGAUGUGAGUGUGCCUUCGGGAACACUGAUACAGGUGCUGCGUGGCUGUCGUCAGCUCGUGUCGUGAGAUGUUGGGUUAAGUCCCCUAACGAGCGCAACCCUAUUCCUUAUUUACCAGCACGUGAAGGUGGGGACUCUAAGGAGACUGCCGGUGACAAACCGGAGGAAGGGGGGGAAGACGUCAAGUCAUCAUGGCCCUUAUGGGGGGGGCUACACACGUGCUACAAUGGUGGAUACAGAGGGCAGCGAAGGGGCGGCCGGGAGCAAAUCUUAAAAAGUCAAUCGCAGUCCGGAUUGGAGUCUGCAACUCGACUCCAUGAAGUCGGAAUCGCUAGUAAUCGCCAAUCAGCAUGUCGCGGAAAAAACUUUCCCGGGUCUUGUACACACCG
rnacentral:rRNA from 1 species